ensembl:lncRNA
CUUUAAAACAGCUGCAAUUUCACCACUAAUGUCUGGCUGCUCGCAGUAACUGCUAAACUGUGGGGGAUAUGUGUGAAUACACCUCAACGCAAGCUGCAGCUGAGCAGACACUCAUGUGACUCCCCCUCCCUCUGUUCAGUAACAAAACACACUUACAGACGUAAGAAGCCAGUCUAUAUCGUACACAAAGUCUGUCAGUCCACUCGGCCACACGCUUUCUCUCAGAGCCACUUGCCAAUAGAAAGACACACAAGCGCGCACGCACACACGCGUGCACAGACACACGAAGAGAAAGGAUUAUUUUCUCUUCAUGUUGUAAUGCUAGUGAAUCUCUUAACAGGAACUGCCAACAGGGGAAAUCUUCCAUCCUGCAGCUGUGUCCUCAGAGAGACUCUGGAAACUGUAGAAAUUUCCUUGACUCUUUUCUCAUCGUGGCUUUGGUUGCAAAAACAGCUUGGCCAUUCGGGUAUGAGGAGAUGAGGCAGAGUCAGGUGCUUUUCUAUAACGUUGCCCCACCAGAGUCGCUCUAGUCCUUUAAAAAGGGCAGCGGGAGAAAAAAAAAAAAAAAAAAAAACUUGUGGUACCAAAAUUGGACCAGGUCUGUGGAAAUCAAUACUGCUGCUUACAUGAGGGGCCUCCACUAAGGCUAUUUCAUAUUUCACCAUAUAUACACAGUUUCUGAGGAGAAAGAAAAAAAAAAAAAAAAAAAAAAAAAAAAAAAAAAAAAAACACACAACCCCUCAAUUUCAGAACAGUAUGAACUAUCGAUUUCACAGUCACGAUUCUUACUCUUUCUCUGCCCAUUUCUGUCCUCUCUCUUUUCCAUUCCCCACCUUUGAUGUGGAACUCCUUCCCCCCACCCCCCAAACUUCUGUUAAAUGAAAACUGUUUAUUAUUAGGCUUCUCGCGACGGAGAGGUCGUUACCGUCACAUUUUUACAUCUUUCACAUUUCUCCUAAAAGAAAUGUUUUUUCCAUUGACAUCACGAAUCGAUCGAUCUGUAAGGUGAAACAGAAAAGCUAUUUCUUGACAAAAGUGAAUACCACUGCCCUUACCUUGUACACUUUUGAGAUAUUAAAAGGUGGGCCUCACAGAGUAACUUCCAAUGGCACACCGUAACAAUGCACUGCCUAUUAUAAUGACUAUAUCGUGACUUGAGAUGCAUCACGACAUCUAUUUAUUCACUGCUGAGGCUUGUACUGUGUACUAUGGGCUUAGUGAGGUAACUUGAGAUUUAACCCUGGGUUUAUUUAGUGCUACAGAGGUGGUUCACUCUUAUCCUGGAACACCAACAUGAUAACUUAGAUACAUUUUUUAAAACGUCCCUGAACUGUUUUAUUUGAACCAGUCUUCUCUUAAUUUC